CAGCCGCCACGGUAAUACGGAGGGGGCUAGCGUUGUUCGGAAUUACUGGGCGUAAAGCGCACGUAGGCGGCUUGGUAAGUUAGAGGUGAAAGCCUGGAGCUCAACUCCAGAAUUGCCCUUAAGACUGCCGAGCUAGCAGGUGAGAGAGGUAAGUGGAAUUCCGAGUGUAGAGGUGAAAUUCGUAGAUAUUCGGAAGAACACCAGUGGCGAAGGCGGCUUACUGGCUCAUACUGGACGCUGAGGUGCGAAAGCGUGGGGAGCAAACAGGAUUAGAUACCCCCGUAGUCCCUGUCUCUUAUAC
rnacentral:rRNA from 1 species